rnacentral:RNase_P_RNA from 1 species
GAGAGGGGAAGGGCAGCUGCCGGUCUCCUUGUACCGAGGAGGCUGAGGAAAGUCCCUCCACCAUAAGGAUACAUACAUACAACACGAACGCCGAGAGGGCGUAAGGCGAGAGUCUUGGCUCUGGUAUAGAAACGAUACCGUGCCAUACCAACGUGAUGAUUCCGUAAGGAUGAAUUCGUAUGGUUGCGGAUGGAACGACCAUCCUCGUGGGUGCAAGCCUGAGGAAGGCGCGAAGAUAAAUGCUGCCGAAACAGAAGGGGGCUUACUCUCCCCACUC